rnacentral:rRNA from 1 species
AGAGUUUGAUCAUGGCUCAGAUUGAACGCUGGCGGCAUGCCUUACACAUGCAAGUCGAACGGCAGCACGGGUGCUUGCACCUGGUGGCGAGUGGCGAACGGGUGAGUAAUAUAUCGGAACGUACCUUAUUGUGGGGGAUAACGCAGCGAAAGCUGUGCUAAUACCGCAUAAUCCCUAAGGGGGAAAGCGGGGGACCGUAAGGCCUCGCGCAAUUAGAGCGGCCGAUACCUGAUUAGCUAGUUGGUGAGGUAAAGGCUCACCAAGGCAACGAUCAGUAGCUGGUCUGAGAGGACGAUCAGCCACACUGGGACUGAGACACGGCCCAGACUCCUACGGGAGGCAGCAGUGGGGAAUUUUGGACAAUGGGGGCAACCCUGAUCCAGCAAUGCCGCGUGAGUGAAGAAGGCCUUCGGGUUGUAAAGCUCUUUUGUCAGGGAAGAAACAGCAGCUCUAACACAGUCUGCGAAUGACGGUACCUGAAGAAUAAGCACCGGCUAACUACGUGCCAGCAGCCGCGGUAAUACGUAGGGUGCAAGCGUUAAUCGGAAUUACUGGGCGUAAAGCGUGCGCAGGCGGUUAUGUAAGACAGGCGUGAAAUCCCCGGGCUUAACCUGGGAAUUGCGCUUGUGACUGCAUAGCUAGAGUAUGUCAGAGGGGGGUAGAAUUCCACGUGUAGCAGUGAAAUGCGUAGAGAUGUGGA